rnacentral:rRNA from 1 species
CUCUGCCUGAGGAGGAUAGAAUUCUUUUUGGGCUUGUUUCAGGUUAGCCAGGAUUUUGUUUGACAAUAGAUGAAUCGAUCCGAAUUUUUAUAGUAAACAGAGGUGGAUCCGAUGAAAAGUGUAAAAAGAAUACGUUUUUGUAGUACCUUUUGUAUCAGGGCUUUAGGAAUAAGGUUUUUAUCAAGUAUUCCCGAAUAGUAAAGAUCUUCCAAGGCUAGAGUUUAAAGUUGAAUUUUUAUCUUUAAAGCCUUGAAAGGGGUGAUAAAUAAGUCGGUUUACUCUAUAUCUGGUUGCCCAUGAUACAGUACAAUUGGAUCGGCUAUCUGGUGAAUUAGCUUCUUACUCUAUGAUAGCCGGUAAUUCUUGUAGGGAUAAGCUUAUGAGAGUAAGAAGCUUUAUCAUAAUUAAGAACUAUUUUAUAUUCAUUAUUAAGUUAAUUUCAUUCAAUUUAUCUAACAACUUUAUGUUUAGUGGGCUAUCGACUGCAAUAUUGGAGGUCGAAUAAUAAUCUAAUGAUUAGUAAUUUGUGUAAAUAUGGCUAAUGAACUAGGCAAUAGCUAACCCGCCUGUUUACUAAAAACAUGUCCUCUAGAAAUACAAUUGGAGGUCGUGCCUGCUCAGUGCUUUAUGUUAACAGCCGCAGUAACUCUGACUGUGCAAAGGUAGCAUAAUAAAUUGGCUUUUAAUUGAAGUCUGGAAUAAAUGGUUUGACGAGGUUAGUUCUGUAUCAGCUAUACUAUAGAUGAACUUUAUCUGUGAGUAAAAAAGCUUACAUGUUUUGGAGGGACGAGAAGACCCUUUAGAUCUUUUAAGACACCUCGUUUAACUAUAAGCCUGGUGUUCUUUUUGCUUGGGACGAGGCUUAUAAUAAUUAAAACUAUAGUUAGAGAAAAGGCAAAUAGGCCGAUUUUAGAUUACGAUUUUGAUCAAUUAAAAGAAAAAGUUACCUAAGGGAUAACAGGAUAAUGAUUUUAUGGAGUACUUAUUUGUAAAAUCGAUUAUCACCUCGAUGUUGAAUUAAAUUCUCACCACAUAUGCAGAAGUAGUGGCUGUUAGUCUGUUCGACUAUUAAAAUUUUACAUGAUUUGAGUUUAGACCGACGGGAGUCAGGUCAGAUUCUAUCUUCCAUUUAAAAGUUUCUCUUUCAGUACGAAAGGACAAAAGAGAAGUAACUUCUUUA